rnacentral:rRNA from 1 species
AUUGAACGCUGGCGGCAGGCCUAACACAUGCAAGUCGAGCGGAUGAAGGGAGCUUGCUCCUGGAUUCAGCGGCGGACGGGUGAGUAAUGCCUAGGAAUCUGCCUGGUAGUGGGGGAUAACGUCCGGAAACGGGCGCUAAUACCGCAUACGUCCUGAGGGAGAAAGUGGGGGAUCUUCGGACCUCACGCUAUCAGAUGAGCCUAGGUCGGAUUAGCUAGUUGGUGGGGUAAAGGCCUACCAAGGCGACGAUCCGUAACUGGUCUGAGAGGAUGAUCAGUCACACUGGAACUGAGACACGGUCCAGACUCCUACGGGUGGCAGCAGUGGGGAAUAUUGGACAAAGGGCGAAAGCCUGAUCCAGCCAUGCCGCGUGUGUGAAGAAGGUCUUCGGAUUGUAAAGCACUUUAAGUUGGGAGGAAGGGCAGUAAGUUAAUACCUUGCUGUUUUGACGUUACCAACAGAAUAAGCACCGGCUAACUUCGUG